UACGAAGGGGGCUAGCGUUGCUCGGAAUCACUGGACGUAAAGCGCACGUAGGCGGCUUUUUAAGUCAGGGGUGAAAUCCUGGAGCUCAACUCCAGAACUGCCUUUGAUACUGAGAGGCUUGAGUCCGGGAGAGGUGAGUGGAACUGCGAGUGUAGAGGUGAAAUUCGUAGAUAUUCGCAAGAACACCAGUGGCGAAGGCGGCUCACUGGCCCGGUACUGACGCUGAGGUGCGAAAGCGUGGGGAGCAAACAGG
rnacentral:rRNA from 1 species